rnacentral:lncRNA from 1 species
UUUGGUCUAUUUGAUAACAUAAUAUGCUUGCAAUUACUUCAGGCAACUAAAGGGCAGUGAUAAUAACUCAGGAUCAUCAACAGUUAAACUACCAGUGAAAUAGAUGGCAUUAAAGACCCUUCAUGAUGGACUGUUCUCUGAAAAAUCAGAUGUUUGGUCUUAUGGUGUUCUUUGUUGGAAAAUAUUCAGUCUUGGUAAGGUACCAUAUCCUGGUCUGGAUCCAAUAGGAGUAGUGGAGUUACUGGAUACUGGAGGAUGAUUGCAUUAUGGAACCGCUCAAUGCAUCACAGGAAAUGCAAGAGCAUACAGAUUUACUUAGGUCUAGGUGUGGUUAGAAAGAGCUGUAUAGCCAUACUAAAAAUGUUGCUCCUCACAUUACUUUUCUCUGCUUGGAUAUUAUCAACAGCUCUAGUCAAUGGUUGCUUACAUGGUCAGGUACGUUUAGUAGAUGGAGAUGGUCCAAAUGUGGGAAGACUAGAAAUAUGUAUUAAUGGAGAUUGGGGAACUGUUUGUGAUGAUAUGUGGACACACACCAAUGCUCAGGUAGUCUGUAGACAACUGGGAUACUCUACUGAUGGUAA